rnacentral:rRNA from 1 species
GUGGUAAUUCUAGAGCUAAUACAUGCUAAAAACCUCGACUUCGGAAGGGGUGUAUUUAUUAGAUAAAAAACCGAUGCCCUUCGGGGCUCCUUGGUGAUUCAUAAUAACUCAACGAAUCGCAUGGCCUUGCGCCGGCGAUGGUUCAUUCAAAUUUCUGCCCUAUCAACUUUCGACGGUACUGUAGUGGAAUACCAUGGUUUCUACGGGUAACGGGGAAUUAGGGUUCUAUUCCGGAGAGGGAGCCUGAGAAACGGCUACCACAUCCAAGGAAGGCAGCAGGCGCGCAAAUUACCCAAUCCCGACACGGGGAGGUAGUGACAAUAAAUACUGAUACAGGGCUCUUUUGGGUCUUGUAAUUGGAAUGAGUACAAUUUAAAUCCCUUAACGAGGAACAAUUGGAGGGCAAGUCUGGUGCCAGCAGCCGCGGUAAUUCCAGCUCCAAUAGCGUAUAUUAAAGUUGUUGCAGUUAAAAAGCUCGUAGUUGAAACUUGGGUCUGGCUGACCGGUCCGCCUCACCGCGUGCACUGGCUCGGCCGGACCUUUCCUUCUGGGGAGCCUUAUGCCCUUCGUUGGGUGUAACGGGGAACCAGGACUUUUACUUUGAAAAAAUUAGAGUGUUCAAAGCAGGCCUAUGCUCGAAUACAUUAGCAUGGAAUAAUAGAAUAGGACGUGUGGUUCUAUUUUGUUGGUUUCUAGGACCGCCGUAAUGAUUAAUAGGGAUAGUCGGGGGCAUCAGUAUUCAAUUGUCAGAGGUGAAAUUCUUGGAUUUAUUGAAGACUAACUACUGCGAAAGCAUUUGCCAAGGAUGUUUUCAUUAAUCAGUGAACGAAAGUUAGGGGAUCGAAGACGAUCAGAAGGGCCUUUGUGUCCGUGAAUGAGAGCAAUCGUUUUGAGGAGAGUAUGGAAACAUACAGAAAUCAAAAACCGUUGCCCUUUGUUCAUCCUGGUAUAUGGUCGUCUACAGUAAACUAGUUCGGAGUUCCAUGCUCCUUGCUACAUCAUCAAAUUGAUGGGGCUCCCGUGCGCAAGGACGGGUAACCCACAGCCAAACUCUUUGGAGUGCAGUCUACAGACUGAAUGUUGAUGGGCGGGUUGUACGAUACCCGUUUCUAAUAUAGUCGAGUCUCUUAAAGUCAUUUUAGGAGCAUAACGCAGAUACCGUCGUAGUCUUAACCAUAAACUAUGCCGACUAGGGAUCGGACGGUGUUUUAAUUUUGACCCGUUCGGCACCUUACGAGAAAUCAAAGUCUUUGGGUUCUGGGGGGAGUAUGGUCGCAAGGCUGAAACUUAAAGACAUUGACGGAAGGGCACCACCAGGCGUGGAGCCUGCGGCUUGAUUUGACUCAACACGGGGAAACUCACCAGGUCCAGACAUAAUAAGGAUUGACAGAUUGAGAGCUCUUUCUUGAUUUUAUGGGUGGUGGUGCAUGGCCGUUCUUAGUUGGUGGAGUGAUUUGUCUGCUUAAUUGCGAUAACGAACGAGACCUUAACCUGCUAAAUAGCCCGGUUAGCUUUGGCUGGCCGCCGGCUUCUUAGAGGGACUAUCGGCUCAAGCCGAUGGAAGUUUGAGGCAAUAACAGGUCUGUGAUGCCCUUAGAGAUAUUUAGGGGUAAAACACCAGUCUGGUUUAUAGGACGCUCAGGUCCUUCCAGGCAACAUCUUCAAUCUUGUCGGCAAGUUCCAUUAAACAAGCCGAAAUCUUUGUAAACCGAUCUUGGCGAAGUGGGCUCUCUAAAGGAAAUAAAUGUGUUAGAUUGUUCCAGUAGUGGCCGUUCGGAGGGAUCGUCGGAGCGAAGCGCGUAGAAGAAUUCGUAGUAGAUAGUAGACGAAAUCACUAUAGUUAUAUAGUGCGAGAAACUGAAAUGAAAAGCGUUUAAAUUUCGAAUCCUUCUACAAGUCGGUUAACUUCUCUUGCGCUCUGUCCGUCUUCCGUCCGCCCCCAAAAAAAUUGGCAAAUAUAUUUUAUUCCUUCAGACAGCGUAGUAACCGAAACGGAUUUUAUGGGGAUUCAGAGACUAAACGGAGGUGGGGGUACUAGGAAUUCGGUACCUUUUUGAUAUAGUCCGACUCCGCAGCAUUCCCGCUGCGACGUUUGUGUAGAUGUCCUGGGCCGCACGCGCGCUACACUGACAGAGACAACGAGUUCAUCUCCUUGGCCGGAAGGUCUGGGUAAUCUUGUUAAACUCCGUCGUGCUGGGGAUAGAGCAUUGCAAUUAUUGCUCUUCAACGAGGAAUGCCUAGUAAGCGCAAGUCAUCAGCUUGCGUUGAUUACGUCCCUGCCCUUUGUACACACCGCCCGUCGCUACUACCGAUUGAAUGGCUCAGUGAGGCCUUCGGACUGGCCCAGGAAGGUCGGCAACGACCAUCUAGGGCCGGAAAG